AUUGAACGCUGGCGGCAGGCCUAACACAUGCAAGUCGAACGGUAGCAGGAAGCAGCUUGCUGCUUUGCUGACGAGUGGCGGACGGGUGAGUAAUGUCUGGGAAACUGCCUGAUGGAGGGGGAUAACUACUGGAAACGGUAGCUAAUACCGCAUAACGUCGCAAGACCAAAGAGGGGGACCUUCGGGCCUCUUGCCAUCGGAUGUGCCCAGAUGGGAUUAGCUAGUAGGUGGGGUAAAGGCUCACCUAGGCGACGAUCCCUAGCUGGUCUGAGAGGAUGACCAGCCACACUGGAACUGAGACACGGUCCAGACUCCUACGGGAGGCAGCAGUGGGGAAUAUUGCACAAUGGGCGCAAGCCUGAUGCAGCCAUGCCGCGUGUAUGAAGAAGGCCUUCGGGUUGUAAAGUACUUUCAGCGGGGAGGAAGGGAGUAAAGUUAAUACCUUUGCUCAUUGACGUUACCCGCAGAAGAAGCACCGGCUAACUCCGUG
rnacentral:rRNA from 1 species